GUGCCAGCAGCCGCGGUAAUACAGAGGGUGCGAGCGUUGUCCGGAAUCACUGGGCGUAAAGGGCGCGUAGGCGGCUUGGUAAGCGUGCGGUGAAAGCUCGGGGCUCAACCCUGAGUCUGCCGUGCGAACUGCCAGGCUGGAGCACGGUAGAGGCACAUGGAAUUCCGGGUGUAGCGGUGGAAUGCGUAGAGAUCCGGAAGAACACCGGUGGCGAAGGCGGUGUGCUGGGCCGUUGCUGACGCUGAGGCGCGACAGCGUGGGGAGCAAACAGGAUUAGAUACCCCGGUAGUCC
rnacentral:rRNA from 1 species